rnacentral:lncRNA from 1 species
CUCCCUGUAGAAGGGGGGUGUACGACCAACCGUUGUACCUGAAAAUUACACCGUUGGAAAGGUCUUCUUUUGUUCUUUCUAAAUAUCUACUUCGACAUGAGAAAGCAGAUCGCUGUGGUCAUCCAGAUCACUUUUUGUUAGUUCAGUGCCCGGUAGGUGGACCCCAAACCCGAUGUCUCAAGGCGUGUUAUGGCACAUAAAGACAUAAUCACAGAUAGAAGACCCAGUGUUGACAAGACAACACACGGACGCCAUACUAGUGAAGUUCCUGCACUACAACGCCCAGCAGGCCGAAUAGGUUCCGCAACUCGGGCUUCUCGAUCAGGUGAAUAGGCACGUUGUUCCUGUAGAAGAACAUGCCAAGCUCCUCCACGACUUGCCCCACGAGAGUCGCGGGAAUCACUGGGAGGAGGGUCUGGCCAUCAAUGCCGCGCCGGCGCUUGGAGAGGGCCUGCUGAUCCGCCGUGCUGGGGCCCGCCGCAGCAGAGCUGGUUCCACUCUGUUGCUGUUGCUGGCUGAGUGACGCUGCACGCUGUUUGAUAGCCUUGCAAGCACCUUGCUUGAUGUGGUGCGUGUUGGUAAAGGUUGGGUUCACGGCGCUGAGCGGCUCAUCGCAGAACAGGCAGACUAGCUUUGGUAGACCACCCCACCACUCCACAUCGAAGUUGUCCCAAAGACUACCCGUCUUGGCGUUCUUCUUCUGGUUACGUAGCUUGUUAAAAAGCUCGUUCCGAGAACGGAGAACUUCAGGGGGGACGUCUGGACCAGGAUGCAAGCCUCUGAUCGCCUUGUCAUUCUUUAUACUGGAUUCCUUUGACAUUAUUCAUCAAUAACUACGUAGCACAGCUCGAAGACACGGCUAUAGCCCUUCAAAAUACAGCUUGACUGCAGAUCUCGACUUGGUCCAACUAGUACUGGACACUAUCCAAACCCAAAUCUAGUACUAUCUAGUACUAUUUUUACUAUACUAUUUUACUAUGUACGAACGCGGUACGAGCGUCGUAAACUAGUACCAGUUUAGAGCCCUGCAUAUGAAAUAGUACUAUGCAUAGUACUAUUAUAGUAUAGUACUCUUUUCUAGUAUAGUACCCGUGCCAACCCUUGAAGGGAGAGAGUCAACCCUCAACCUCUCAUCGUGUCGUGUUAACAUGAGCAUAUCGCAGAAGCGGCAUGACAUGUGCUGUGCCAAGGCGCGCUGCUCACGAACAUAAGUAUGCACCCAUCUAUCUGUAUCUAACCUUGCAUGCAUGCAUGCAGGCACCUGGCCCAAGCCUGCUGGUCUGCUGACCCGUCCUGUCGUCCGACGGCACCUCAGCUGGUGUCUAAGCUGCUUAUGUUGCUGCGAGAGACUUAGAGGCUGGGGCUUGGGAGGGGGGAAUGAGUGGCGGGAAAGGCGCCGGUAGGUGUCAGUCAAUUAGUUUAAUUUAUUAAGCAGUUAUCGGUUCGUUAUAUUGGUUAGGGAUAGCCUUAGCUUGUUGAGGACUGGAGGUCAGGGUGGCCCCGAUGCUGACCAUCUAGCUCUGGGCCUUGGCUGAGCUCCGGCGUUGCUCAUUAGCACGUUGAUGUCAUUUCAUGUCAUGCCAUGCCAUGCGGGGAGUGAAUGCAGGGCCGAAGCUGAGGGGGGCGACAAGCGAGUCAGCGCAGCGAGCACAGGAAGAAGCUUGGUUCAGAGAUGGUUUCUAGUUGGGUCACUAAUCCCAACACGUGUAGAGGUUUAGGAUAGUUGAGACGGUCCAGGAGGGCAUAUAUGAGGAGAUGCAACGUUAUGGUUAGGGCGGCGGCGUUAUUGUUAGGCCAUGCAUUCCAUCACGGAGAAGAUUCGUUGCAAGCAGUAAGACGUACAUGAGGAAGGCAUUGGAGAUGACGGAACAAUAAAAUGAAGCAAGUGGCGAGAUCCGUUAUUGAACAUAAUAAUUUCUGCGUACAGUGGCUUUGCAGCCCACGCGAUGCGACAUGCACAAAGAUAACACUGGACUAGGUAAUGUGCAGGUAAUCUGUAGGGUGCGAGCCGCCAAAGGAUAGGUGCGGCGACCUUUUAUUUAGUUUUUAGUUAGGUAGAGUCCAACCAAAAAUUUGGCAUUUGUUUUGUAGUGUCUGGCCGCUGAAACGGCCUACCGAGAUGCUGGUCGAGCGCUUCGCGCGUAUUUGUAGUUGAUAUGUGUGCCGUACUGUAUACUAGCCGCUACAGGUUUGCAUUCAGUGGCCCGUCGCUGCUGCCUGGUGUGAUAUAAAUCGGGCGCCUGUACGAGCGCUCUAAUGGGGCGAGCGAGAGUUGAUGCAAAAGUGACAGGAGGGUGGAGGCGGGCGGCAAACAGCAGCCUCCGUCUCAGCCACCGCAACUAACCGUUGCUGUGCCUCUGUAGGCGUGUGCAAGGAGCCAAAACGUGCUAUCUAAUGUAUGUUUCUGAAAACAUAUAUGAGCGAGUUUUAAUGGUCCGAGCCGCGAGUAGGGGCUAACUGGUGAGGGCGUGUCAAUGAAUGUGAAUGAAUCUUGUGUGUAUGUGUGUGUAUUUAUAGCUGCACAUGCACAUAGAGUAUACCUGGCACCUGCCUUGCCUACAGGCAUUGUGAAAUUUUAGCAUGUCAACUGCGGGCUGCAGUUACCAUCGAUUGCAAGAAGUCUGGAUUUAGUAAGCCGGGCGGCGAAGGCUGUUGCUGGAGACCUAACUGGCCCAUUAAAUGCCGGUGCAUAUAGCCAGUGGAUAGCUGGUUAAGAGUUUCAGCUUUUUUUUGCAAUAGCGGUUGUAAUGGCUUCUUUGUUGGUAGCAGCAUUACUUGCAAGUAGUGCACUUUGGUGGUGAAGUGGUAGCGGUAGUGCAUGCCAGCUGCGGGCGGCUGGAAACGGUAGCCUCUGCUAUUCCGGAACGUUUUCUCCGAUGUGCAAAUGUUUGUCUUGUCAUAUUGAGCCGCAUGUACCUUUUAGUUAGUAAUAGAAUUUAUAUCUAGAUUUUAUGGGAUGAUAACCAGGCAGGGUACUAUGUCUUUCCCUAGUUUAAACUUCCUCGUCAGGUCGUGCACUAUGGUGUUUAGAUGUGUUGGGCUUGGGCCACAAGCGGGCGCAGCGAUGAGUUGUAGCGAUUCGACAUCCCUAGCAUUGUCCAUCAUCCCAUUACAUGCACAACGCAUUACCCUCCAUUUUAUCGCUCAGUGGCACGGUAUGGAAGUUACGAGUCUGUGCAUGGUGUGGUAUGGAAGCUUACUGCAUUGUUCAAGGUCGUUAACUGUUACGCAACAAGAAAGGGGCGAGAAAGUCUCAAUUUGGAUUUUUGAGGGCCACAUGCAUGGUACAGCCAUACGUGUAACAGACAAGUAUUACAAGUGCCGCAAUUCCACAGGGCCAGCCAGUAAACGCCAAUUCAUUCACAAGAUCCAAUUUAAUGCUGGAGUAUAAAAGCUUUGAGGCAAUGCUUAACAUAUUCUUUUGUCACAAUCAUUCAUUGCACAUAUCAAGCAAGGGUAAUGGGCCUCCUCAGGUGCCCUAGGAGAUGCUGGCACGCCAUUGCUCAAAUCUGCCCAAACCCUCAUCAAUGCUCAUAGGCUGACCUGCUGCAAGGCAGGCCGUACGAGACAAGACCACUUGCUCCACCCCAUCUAUCAUCCCGUCCCCAUGCACAUGCAUCAAUGUCUCGAUAUUCCCCUGCGUUAUGGUAUUCCCCAUGUUUUACGUUGAACCAUGCACACUAAAUCCUGCGGGAAUCUAUAACAUAGCCGAGUUGCAUCGGCUUCCUUAUCGUGAACAGCUCCGCUUCCCAACGCCAGUGUCUUACUGCCGCCCUCUGGGGCUGCAGGUGGCCAUCCGUCACGCCAAGGACAGGCGCUGCAUGGCCGCAGAUGGCGCGACACCUGCAUAUAAAGUGGACUUGUCCCUGGCACUGCCCACAUCGACCGCCGCCACAGCAUCUGCGGAAGCGGCCCCAGCCAUCCAGCUCAUCAUCAUUUCAGGGUCCGAGUUCGAUGCGAUCGCCUCAUCCAGCCGCCUGUUGUACUCGGCGACCGUGCGCCGCAGCUUAUUGUACCGAUCCAUAAUCUCCUUCACUCGGGACUCCUUCGCUGCCAGCAGCUCGUCCGUGCGCUCGCGCCAGUGCCGCAUCUGCGAUGAUGUAAGACACAGCAGACGGGGGCAGUACAGGGUUGGGUAGAGCGUACACCAAGCGGGAGAGCCGGGUGGACAGGUGCCGCUUUAAAUGGGCGUCCCGGCCAGGCUGGAAGGUGCAGGGAAUAAGUGGCCUGCAGCAGCAGCAGGCACACAUACAUACACAAGGAAAUAAGGAGGACAGGGGGAAACCUUGCAGUGCACCAGCUGAUUUAGGAUGUGCAGCUCCCAGAGGGCCCCUUGCUGUCAGGGCACAUGCGUGUCUGGGGCGCAGAACUGUUCGGUUUGUAGGUUCAUGCAUGGUCUACAAGUCGGCGCAGACCCACGCACCCGUGCCUCCUGUUCUUCAGCCCGAGCAUGGUCAGCCGCGCGCUCCGCUUUCACGGAUUCACGCCGGCUGGUCUGCUUCUCCACUUCCGCUGCUGCCAGAUCCACCCUGACCUUUCCCUGUGACAAAAGGAUGUUCAACGUGCAAGUAGAGGUGACGUUAGACCUCUCAGCAAGCCGCCGAUGGCGACGAUAAAUAGACUGGGAUCAAGGGACCGGUUCCUUGGUUCGAAUAGACAGCUAAUAAGGCUAGCGUGACGAAACCAUGGCAAAGCCCACUCGUGCACUCACCUGCUGCUCAGUGCGGCUGAUCUUGUCCAGCAGCGAUGCCCCUUUCCGCUUCUCCGAUGCGUGCAUGGUGAGCAGAUCGUCGUGCUGCCGCUCCUGGUCGGCAAUGGCCUGUGGUCGCGAUGACAGACAAGGUGGUCCCAUGACAGAACUUAGGACAGGAACGGGGGCACCUACACUGCCAAGAAUGAUUGGCACGCAAGGACAUCCGGACAGGGAGAUCACGACAAGAUGCAGUUUUACAACUGCACUGCGCACUAUGCCCAUGUAGUACAGAUGCCCGCAGAGUAUUGGGCAAACGAUGAUGAGGGGACUGGCCGGAUGUGGGCCUGACUCGAAGCGCAAGAAAGGGCAGCCACAAGUGGCUGCACGGAUUUAAACGUGGUCAGGAAAGGAACAUGCGCGCGUUGGGUGCAUGACAGGGCAGCUUUUAAAGCUGUCAGGUAACGAGGCCCGAGCCCAAGUGGCUUUGAUUGAGGCCAAUCCAGCAUGAAUGACGUGCAAAGGCAAACAUAUGCACACCCGGGCGCGAGUUCGCGUACCUUCAUGUUUUCCUUGGUGGAGGCGCCCACGCUCUUCUUUUUGGCCACUGCAGCCUCGACCUCCUCCUGCGCGCACCAAGGAUACAACCGCUCGGACACGGCAAAGGUGACAGCAGCGUUUUCGGUGUAACACACAGGCAUUGCAAUCUUUUCAAUACACGUUGCUGCUCAAAAUCAUUACAUCGGGGGCGGAAGAAGUGCCACAUGCAGAUGUAAGGUUUUGGACCAGGCCAACGACCCAACCCAAGAGGUUCGAGAGCAACCGACACCGCCGCUUUUUUAGUUGGAAAGAAACCAGCAGACUAGUUGACUUGUAGCUGGACCUACAGCCCGUCAGACGUGGUUGUCCGACUCAAACACUGAACGCCGCCCCAAGUGCUGCAGAGACUAUUGUUGGGUCUUCCGGUUCCCCGGUACCCCAGGAUCUAUCCCAGCAGACAUCUCACCACCGCCGUUACGCAGCGCUGCAAAUCCUUCUCGAACUGCGAUGCGGGGGCGGUCAGUGCGAGGGCUUCAGCGACAUUUGCGCAAAACAAAACGAUUCUGUUAAGAACAUGGACGGUCCAGGGAGUGGCGUCUGUCAUAUCACGGCGAUAUCAUAAGUCUUAAGAACCAGAACCUUACGAGCCAGGAAACAAGGCCAUCACAGCACAAGUAUUCCAAGUGUUUUCGUAGAGACCGCCGCUAGCGCUCGGGGACACAUAUCCCAUUCCCUUACCCUUUACCUUAGCCGAUUCGAUUGUGAUAGCAACCCCAUUUAACGACAGUCCUGGACCCGUUAAUCGCAAUGUGUACGGGCAGGUUGAGUAAGCAGGAAGUACGGCUACAGCUCCUGCCAUUCUAGUUUCAGCACUUGCAUCUGACAACAGCACUUGCAUCACACGCACACCUUGGUUAACAUGUCCAGUUUGCGUUCGUGCUCCGCGCGAAGCGAGGACAAUCCGGCGUGGUAGUCGCGCUUCUUAUCGUAGGCCGCACAUAGGUCGUUGAUUACUGUCUUGUGUUUCUCGGGGCUCUGCAUGCCGGCGUACAACAUGAAACAAAAGGCAACAUUCUACAGCAUCGCAAACAAAGAGGCUCCGCGGCGGCGCAUUGCUGGGUAGCAGUCACACCAGCCCGCAAAUCGGCAUCUCCACCGGGGCGAGACCCGAAAUGCUUAUUCGCUGCGCCCUGCGCUGCAGAGAUGUAAAACUGCUGAUGUCCUAAUCGUUAGCUGCAAUCAUCUAUGCUCCCUGGUCAAGGUGACAUGCUGGUCAAGGUGCAUUGUUCUCGCGUCAAUCAUGUAGGCCAGGCCAGGAAGCACGGGGCCGUCUCCGGGGGAGGGGGAGGAGGAGAGCGUGCAAGGGCGCCGCGAGACGCACAAAAGGAUACAACCCCUUCAUGCGGAGCAAUAGGCCGUUUCCGAGUAUUAGCCAACAAAGCCCCUUUAAGAAUCGGCCCAUGCCAGGGGUUGUAUUGUCUGUUUGGAAGCUGUAAAUUGCGCUGCCGUAAAACGCGCCCAAACUGCGAAGUCCCGAAAUGCUUGUUUGUUGGCAAUGGCCCGAGGUUUGUUACCUAAAUGGGAUAUAAGUUCCCAAUUACUUUAUUAAGCAGCCGCUCACUUACAUGUACGAGCUCGUCCUGCAGCGCUGAGCACUUGUCGUACAGUGAGUUGAGCAUGAGCUUUAACUCUGCCGCUUGGUCUGUGAGGGCGUUGGUUUGUGCCUUGAUUCCGCGGGUCUGCACAUAGGAAAUGGAAAACGUUGCAGGCACGGGGUUGGUACUAGGGUCGAAAGGCCACAUGUCACAUGUACGAUACCAGGUCCCAUAUUGGGAACGGCCUCCUGCCUAAGCGCCGUGGUUACGACCACACUGGAGCGAGACGGGACUCGAUGCACACAUAAACGAUACUGGAUUGUCCAAUGUGUAUAAAUGCAGGUUUUUUGUUACGCAAUGCCAUCCUCAAAUUUUGGUACAAUCCGGAAUGACCGCGCGCCACGGCAACGCCCCCAUGGUGCUGCUUGUGCCGGUACGUGCUGUGGCCAGCGUUUUGACCCAGUAGCGAAACCCUAGCAGCAGCAUGCCAGCCUCGUUAGGAGGUAGUUAGGUGCGGCAGUCUCGUUAGGAGGCAACAGAUUUGCAGCCUCAUCACCAACCCACAUAUAUAUGUAUAAUACUGGGAGGGCUUGGGUGAGCCAAAACACCUAGGACGGCACACAUGCUUACAAGUACAGUGAUUGUUGUCCCAAGGGUUGUCAAAGGUCAAAGAAUGCUACAGUUCCUGGAAAAGCCGUGACCGAAGUACAUGGCUUCAAGCGGGGACUACAGUGAGGGGAAAGAGGCAAAAUGCACCGCUAGUGAAAGCACUGACCUCUUCGGCGAGUACCGUGUGGACCUUGUUGUGCUGCAUGAUCUUUGCGGUGAUGGCCUGCGUAUCCAUUUCAACGGCAGCCGCCUCCUGUUGGCGUGCAGCGCGACGUUCCUUGAGGCGCUUCAGCUCCGCCAACUGCCAACCGGACAAUUUUACAGCGAAGGGAGGCAGCGUUCUUGGAUUUUGCAGCGGUUGCAUGCGGUUGCUAUAUGCAACACGAAAAGGGAAGGUUGCCCUUGUUUGGAGGCCCAUUUGGACCAGAUCGAAGAACUGGGCCUGGCGUGAAUCUGGGAGCAAUAGGUUUUGGGAACGACCGAAGGAGCCCCCGACGGUCUCUUACGUUCUUCUCCUUCCUUUCCAUCUCAGAGUGCUCCAGUCUCAUCAUCUCCGCCAGCCUGUUCUGCAGCAUGUCCAAGUUGGUGACCUUCUCUUCACGGUAUCUGGCGAAAUUAAUCAUGGCGCAGAAGUGCCGCCGCAGCCGCGCGGGUUCCGGCUUAAAAAUGUCCUGCAGAAAGUAGCAUGUGGGUCGUGCGGACGGGUGUCGUCCGAUGUUUGGGCUGCGCGGUAAGUGGGAGGGCUCAGGCAGUUUGAGUCCUAGGGCAGCCACCUACGUUCAGGGUGAAGUCUGUGAUGCCGCAAAACUGCAUGAGCUUGGUCAACUUCUGGAGGAAGUUUAAAAAUGGUAUCGACUCAUCAUGCAGCUCCAUGUACUCCAUUCCGGUGAGCGCGGCGAAGUCGGGCCGUGCGAGCUCUUCCCUUGAGUUGAGGAGCAGAGGGGCGGAACGACUUAACAAGAAGUCGCACCCAUCAGGACCCCACCCACCCAGCUGUAAAAGUAUUCAGACCUGGAAGUGUCCAUUAAGGCAAUUACUGCCUGCUCGUAAUAUGUGCGGACCGCCUCAGGGGUUGGUUUGAUCAACUGACUCGGGUCCAGGUUUAUUUGCAUGUCACUUAAGCACUGCUGAAUAUCAUCAUUGCUUAGGUCAGUUGGAAAUCUGAAAGACAUUUCUUAUGCUACGACUCAGGCAGACUCGUUUGUUAGCCGCAGCUGUCGACAAGCCAAACCGGUCCUUGUUGCUCCCUCAACUGUCACACCGAGAGAGGGCGAGCCGUCCCUGUCAAACUUAAAAGCAAUCUGGUGUGAAAUUCACGCUGAGGGAAUGUCCACCUGGGGGGAGUGAAAUGGUGGGUGUUCACCUUGCUAUGAGAAACGUGGACACGAUAAAUAACUGUGGUAGGGAUCUCCCGAAAAUUACAUUAUCAUUGAAUCAGGAUGCUUAGACGGUAGGUUUCGUACCCGUACUGGAUCCGGAACAGAAGUCAUCGAAGCAUGUUGGGUUUAAAAUGUAACCCAAAAUUGCACGACUACAGAGAAAUGACUUUUAAUUACGAAGUUAGUAAACUUCGUAGGGUAGCUGUAACGUUUGCCCGGAACCAUGCCGAUUGCAGACUUUGUGAAGGAGAUCGACGCGAAGAAACUCAAAGCCGUCCAGGAACGGUUAAAAAAAGAGAAGGCAUCACAAAAAUACACACCUGAUGCCAAGAAGCCGGGGGUCUUCCAUUACCUGCUGCAUCAUGCCGUGAAAGGUGGAGACCCAGCUAUUGUCGAAGCGCUCCUUGCAGCUGCAGCUGAUGUGUCCGCUUUGGAUCAUGAGGAUUCAACGGCACUCCACUGGGCCGUGCGAGACGUUGGCACUCCUCCCAAAAUAGCGGGUAUGUGGGCGACAUGUGUGAUGUCUCGACGUAUGGAGGUCAGACCGACCCACCACACCGGCACGCAACGCACUCUCACAUCGCAAGUUCUUUCUGAGUAGCUUCCAUGCCUUGUUACUGAAAUAACUAGGCCUAUGGAUGGUAUCGUGGUUACCAAGUGCCAGUACAGGAUAUACUCGCAGCCCUCUUGUCAAUAACAGAGAUCCUGCACGCUUUUAGCCAUGCUUCGAAACAUGCAUGACAGCGUGGUGAUGAGCCUCUAUGCAGUCUCCUUCCCUCCUUAAGCGUAUACACUUAAACCCAGCUCCAGAAAGCAUACGAGACGCAUCUUCCAACUCUACUGCCGUAACCCCUGGGUCCUGUCGUACUGCCGUACAGAGCUGCUACUUGAGAAAAAGGCAAAGGUGGAUGCUCUGAACAAGGCGAAAAUGACACCUCUGCAUGUGGCAGCCGUAGCGGGUGCCUUGAGCGCAAUCGAUCUUCUCGUAAAGGCGAGUGUCAACAACGUGACGCGCACCUGAUAGGUACUGGAUUUGCUAUCUAGGUAGGGACCAGGCCCGUGUGAGCUGCUGAUAUUUCACCCGUUUCGCUGGCUUGGCCGCAAUCCGCCGUCCCUUACACCUGCGGCUGAGCAUGUCCGGUCCUGUAGGUCACCUCCCGCUGCUCGAUAGUCCUCGACAGUCCUCAGGACCCUCAGGACCAGGGUUCAGGCCAUCUUCUAUCUGGGCCGAACCCGCCAGCAGGUGUCCGCAGGUCCGCAGACACUGCACCCCACGACGACCGCCCAACCCGCUGCCCGCGGCCUUGCCAGCCAUGUAUCCAUGUAACCAAAGAGGAGUUGCGUGUGGGGUCGCGCACUCGCUUGGUGCUGCAAGCUACUUAAUAGAUCCCUCCUCCUUCUCCUCCGCCUCCUUUGGACUCAACACUACGCCAGGCCGGCGCCGCAGCGGACGUCUCACCCCCAGGCGGCGGUGGCACCCCGCUGCAAUGCGCCCUCCGCGCCUGCUGUGAGGGCGCCCUGAAGCCAGCUGUCUUGCUGGAGGUGGUGGACAAACUGGUAGCCGCAGGAGCCAAACUGACAACCAAGGUUGGUAGGUCGGUCGACGCGCGCCCAUGCCGCACACCCUCAUAUGCGGUACACCCACGCCGUCCGGGGGGAUGCACGGCUGGUCGAUAUGGUAAAGCCCGACCGCUCGAGCUCAUACUCACAUGCCUCUAGAGUCAGCUUCUGCGAGAGCUACAUAAGUGCGUCAUAUCAUCAGUUCUUCAACAUCAGCGUCGCUGUCACCCGCAGCAUCGGCAACAUCGGCAGCGCCCCAAAUGGCAGUUAAGUCCAGCAGGGCGGCCCACUGGGUGCCCAGCGACGACAGGCUAUCCGUGCGCUCCACAAUGACCUGCGCCAAGUAAAUAAACCGUCCUUCGCCGCGACGCCGCAAAGGUGUCGCCAUCACCACCGCCGCACAGCAGCUGUAACAACAACUCAUAGCCCUCCCCUCGCUCCUGGUGCUGCUGUGUUACAGGAUGCCAAUGGUCUGACUCCGCUGAUGUUUCUGGUGGAAUCGGGCCGGGUGGCGGAGGCGCUGCAGUUGCUGGAACGGCCCAACUGUGGCGUAGACGAACUGGUGAGCAACUAACUAACUGACUUAUAAUAAUAUAAUAACCAACUCUCCUGCGUACCCAUCUUUCUCGUUUCUCUUCAUGUACCCGCGCGCUGCUGGUCUCCCCCGUCAGGACCCCUCUGGUCGCAGCCUGCUCAUGGUCCAGGUCGCAUCUGACCAGCCGCACAUGGACCUGGUUCGCGAGCUGGUGGCCAAGGGAGCCUCGGCGGACCUGCAGGUGCGUGGACGGGUGGUCGAUGCAAGUCCACCACCAGAUAGAUCCUCGCCCAGGCUGCUCAGCUGGCCUGCCUCGUGGGCCUGAUUCCAAACCAAGCUCUUGCUCUUGUGUUGGCGUGGGCAUGUCGCAAGGCUGGCGGGAUAGGAGAGGCUAAACGUCCGUCGGCAGGUUCUCCUCAGUUUGCAACGGGAUCCAUCCGCAUUUCUUAUGUCUGUUAGCACGUCAUAUGGCGUGACAGGGCAGUGCGGCUGCCGUUUCCUUUCAGUAACCUACCCCUGACCAUUGGGUAAUAAAGGCAAAGACCUUGCAGGUGUAGCAAUAAGCCUAUUGAAUCAGGAGACCAGCCCACAUUGCAGUGGUGCCCUGUUCUCGCUGCCCUUACAACCUGGCAUCCGUCCUCCCACUGCUUCGGAGCUGAUGCUGCACCUCGUCCCUCUCCCCCAACAUAACGCAAACACGUGCCUGGUGCAGUACCCUCAAUCCCUGGAUACGCCACUGCACGUAGCCGCGCUCAAGGGCAACUUGGCGCUGGUUACGGCGUUGCUGCCUGCUGUACGAAAGCCGUACCUGCGCAAUGCCGCCAAGGCCACCGCAGCGGAGGUAGCGCUGGCGGAGGCGUCCGGUGGUGCCGGCGCGGCGAUUGCGGAGGCAAUCGUAACCGCGGGCGGGGACCCCGGCGAGGCGGGCAUGUCACUCAUGAAGGCCGCGGUUGAGAAGAAGGCGGACGGCAUAGCUGCGCUGGUGGGUGCCCGCGCACCGUUUGAGAAAUGUUUUCAUGGAGCUCGCGUUGGUCUUUUUACGCGUGGGGACUUAGUCAGCAGGUGAAAGGUGAAACG